CCUACGGGGUGCAGCAGUGGGGAAUUUUGGACAAUGGGGGCAACCCUGAUCCAGCCAUUCCGCGUGAGUGAAGAAGGCCUUCGGGUUGUAAAGCUCUUUCGCAAGGGAAGAAAAGAUAUAGGUUAAUAGCCUAUGUUGCUGACGGUACCUUGAUAAGAAGCACCGGCUAACUACGUGCCAGCAGCCGCGGUAAUACGUAGGGUGCGAGCGUUAAUCGGAAUUACUGGGCGUAAAGCGUGCGCAGGCUGUUUGGCAAGUCAGAUGUGAAAUCCCCGAGCUCAACUUGGGAACUGCGUUUGAAACUGCCAGACUAGAAUAGGUCAGAGGGGGGUAGAAUUCCACGUGUAGCAGUGAAAUGCGUAGAGAUGUGGAGGAAUACCAAUGGCGAAGGCAGCCCCCUGGGAUCAUAUUGACGCUCAUGCACGAAAGCGUGGGGAGCG
rnacentral:rRNA from 1 species